UGGGUGAUCUGCCCUGCACUUCGGGAUAAGCCUGGGAAACUGGGUCUAAUACCGGAUAUGACUCCUCAUCGCAUGGUGGGGGGUGGAAAGCUUUUUGUGGUUUUGGAUGGAUUCGCGGCCUAUCAGCUUGUAGGUGAGGUAAUGGCUCACCAAGGCGACGACGGGUAGCCGGCCUGAGAGGGUGACCGGCCACACUGUGACUGAGACACGGCCCAGACCUCCGUACGGGAGGNAG
rnacentral:rRNA from 1 species